rnacentral:pre_miRNA from 7 species
CCCCAGCGUUUUGUGUUCACUGCAGACCUUGAUUUAAUGUCACACGAUUAAGGCACGCAGUGAAUGCCAAAGUUUGGGGC